UACGAAGGGGGCUAGCGUUGCUCGGAAUUACUGGGCGUAAAGGGCGCGUAGGCGGACAGUUUAGUCAGAGGUGAAAGCCCAGGGCUCAACCUUGGAACUGCUUUUGAUACUGACUGUCUUGAGUUCGGGAGAGGUGAGUGGAAUGCCGAGUGUAGAGGUGAAAUUCGUAGAUAUUCGGCGGAACACCAGUGGCGAAGGCGACUCACUGGCCCGAUACUGACGCUGAGGCGCGAAAGCGUGGGGAGCAAACAGG
rnacentral:rRNA from 1 species